UUCAUGUUAUCAAAGCCAUGGCUGCAACUCUAGGCUGUUUGGACUCCAAAUCAUCUCAUAUUCUUCAGAUUCUCUGGAAUGAGUUAGCAGAACAGCUUUUACUGAAAAAAAAAUCCAGCUGACUGAAGAAAAGCCCUCAGAUGGGACUUUCUUCUGCAGGCAAACAGAUUUCAAAAUAUGAAAAUUCUCUGAGAGAGAAUCCUUCCUUUUUCCACAUAGCACUAUUUCCAAGAAACUGCAUAGCCAUGUUGAAGAUCUUUAAAUAACCACUGAAUACUUCUGUUCUACCAGCAAAGUAAUGUUGUACUUUUGAUUGUCAAAAACAUUUAGAUAAUGAACACCCAUUGAUUCCUCCAUAAAGAUAUAUGGGGGGGGGGGGGGAUGGGGAGAUAUUCUCAGUUCUGGAUUUCAAAUCCUUCCAUUUAAAUCACAGCAAUCAAAAGAGCACAUUGGACAUGGCUUAGUUAAUUCAUUUUGUAUUGCUUUUAUUUUGAUUUAAUGAGAAUGCUGUUAAGGAGAGCACAAUGCAUAAGGAGAGCUGAUGGCUGGAAAUGGGAUCUAUUUAGGUUAGAAGUCAGGUACAGAUAUUUAGCAGUGAGGUUAUUUAACCUUCAGAAGAGCUUACUCUUACCAAAAACUGUGGUGAAUUUUUCAUCCCUGCAAUUUGUUUUUUAACCCAGAUUGAACAUAAUUUAGGGCAUCCCUAUUAACUGGGCUAUAUGGGACAUCAGGCUAAUGAAUAGGAAUGUUCCUUCUACUAUGUAUGAAUCUAUGUUGGUGGAAGCACAGAAAAUUCUACCUCUGUAAAAAUUAAGAAACAUUCAGGUACCUGAACAUGGAUUUUGGCUAGAGGUAGUUGGGAAUUUUUCACUGAAAUGAUAUUCCACCUUGCAAUUUCCAAGGCAGACAA